rnacentral:lncRNA from 1 species
UGUGCACAUGCUUCCCGUCAUGCAUUUAUAGGGCGCGACAUGCUGAGAGAACAUAGAGCUGUCAAAAUGUGCAUAACGCAAAACACAUCUUGGAUAACAUUUUACCCUCAAGACCCAGAUGCAGCUGAAAUUAGUGAAGGAGAAGCGUGUAAGUGAAGGCAGAGGCGCGUGACGACUGUAUGAACGCCGUCCUGCUCCUGAACACAACAACAACCCUUCAACAAUUACCAUGAUGUGCACUACUGCUUCUGUCUGGUGGCCAAACAUCCCUUUGAGUGCUCCAUCACCAUAAUCAAUGGCAGGUUGAGCCGGCUGGGGUUUGAAGACCUUUACACAAACACUGUUUGUUUUACUUCUCCACGGCCAUGGAGCUCAGAAGAAAGGCUGCCAUCCAGUUGCCCUGGUCAAGUUCAGCACUUCUGAUCAAUCCUUCAAGGACAGUGGGAGAUUGGAUGAUGGCCGAGACACACUUUCUUCCGGAGGCUUGAGAAUUUCAGUGGAAGUGCUUUUUCUUCUUUUGUUCCUGGCAUUACCACAGAAUUGAUCUGAAAAAUGCACCAAUUAUUGGCAGGGAGAUGAUCUCAGUUUUUCACUCGGCAUCAGAAACUGAAAAUAGCACAAAACCUUAGUGCUGGACUGACUGAAAAUUCUCAGUCAUACAUAAUAAACAUUUUUCAGCAGGAAAAAGAACAAUAUACUGUUGUCAAUUUAUCAUACUAGUUGGAAUUAGCUUUGACAUGUUUCAAACAGCCCAGUGAUAUGGAGAGUUGAAUGCAUGUAAUCUAAUCUGCAAAACAACAUGGC